ACGCCUCAAGUUGUCAUACCACUGUUAGAAUUUCUCUCUGAUGAUGGAGAUUUGGAUAAACAGGAAAUCGCAUACAUAAAAGGCUUGGUCUUGAAGCUAGAGGAAGAAUUGCAUACUGUAACAUCUUCAUCCUCCAAAUAAUUACACAUCCCGGCAGUUACAUUUUCGAACUUCUGGUCAAAGUACGAAAUCACUCGAGAAAGUGAUUUCAUUUUCCGUUGCAAAUCAAAUUGGUGGUGCAAUACAAAGACAGUUCGCGGACGCCUUGAAAGUUCAUGUUCAACAGCAAGCGAAUGACGGUUGGAAGAGGAAGCAACUGGAUGUUUGGUCAACCAGCAAAGCAGCUGGUGGCGACAAAGGAAACCUAUAAGGGCUUACCAGUGGAACUUCAAAAUCUACAUGUCAUUAAGAAACAUCAGAUGUUUGUUGGAAUCCUCAAAAGUUCUAAACUCUUCGUACAAAAACAGGAACAACGUGAACUACUUGACAAAAAUGGGGAUUGCAAUAGAGUUUUGGUCUAUGGAACCGACUUGAGACACAAAAAACUAUUUUUGUUGAGCCACGACGAAAAAACGAAUUUACAGAGGCAAUGGAAGGAUUUUAUGAAAACGUUUGCAACCCAGAGAACAAGGGUGCUGUUUCUUGUUGUUUGCUAAAGAAAGACCGAACGUAUGUGUGCCAGGAUCAGGUGACCAGCUGUGCAUUCACCCCCAGGUUCUUGAACAAGAAACACACACGGCCAAGGCAAGUGUAAAUGACUUCAUUGACCGUUGAGGCAUUUGUGCUGUACAAAGGUGUUAUCAUGCAAAGACGUGUCAUUACUAUAAUUUGCUGCAACAAGCGAUAUACCAGUGGAACUUCAAAAUCCACAUGUCAUCAAGAAACAUCAGAUGUUUGUUUGAAUCCUCAAAACAGUACCCGACUCCGCAGUUUUAAAUUCUUCGAACAACGUGAACUACUUGACAAGCCUGGGUAUUGCAAUGGGUCCCUCUGUUCUCCAAUGUACGUCACUUCCGGUGAAAAAGCCACGAAAAAAAGCCAACUUUGAGGCCCGAAUAAACGAAUGCGUCAUCGAAGAAAGAAUGCGUCAACAGCGCGCCAUAAUUAAGCGUUCGACCGCAUCUGAAGCUUUACCUCGAAAGGUCGCAGAGAGUGUAACAAACGAAAACUGCUCACCGAGAAACAUUCUGCGAAAUGGUGCAACAUUGCUAAAGAAGCAAGAGAUCUUAGGUCUCGCCUACAGAAACAAACAUAUAUUACGCAGCACGGUUUUUACCCUGGGUGACACAUUGGACGAGACGAGGCAGCUCGUCGUGAAGAGAAGCGUGGCGUCAUAGAAUUUCACGUCGUUGGGAACUGGCUGCGAGGACAGCUCUCUCAAAAGAAUAUUAUGUGGUUGAUUGGCUUGACAAAAAGUAUUUUCAUAUCAACUAACGCGAAUGCCGAAA